UGAGCAGGACAAAGUGGAUCCUUCAGAGUUCCCAUCCGUGUUUGUGUCUCAGCCUGUGUUAGGAUUCAGGGCUGUAGCUGUUGUUGUCACUGAGGAGUCAAACUCUGCUUCAAAUAAUGAGACACUGGCCUAAUGGCCAAGUGUCAGGAAAAAAGGGGGAAUGAUAUCUGAGUGUUGAGAUGUAACAAGAGCUGAUCCUUUUUGCAGUGGGAUGUAGCCUGGAAAGUGCACAGAGCUGAGCCAAGGGAUUGAAAGGGACCAACCAAGGGAGGUGAAGAAAGAAGGAAGAAGGGAAGUGAGGCAGCAGGAAAGCAGCAGCAAGUUUCUGUGUAAGCAGGUGAGUUGUGUUGAGGUUCCUAAGGCAGGCACUGAGGACUUUGAGGGCUCCAGACAGAGCAGACCUGGGAAGGCCCUCGGUGAAGCCCCUUGGAAACCUUGUAAGGGUAGGUGUGUAUGGUAAUGAGUGUUGGAAAAUGCCCUGACUGUGGAACAGGAAUGCAGGGAAGGAAAAUGAACCCUCCUGUAAUGCUGACCCCUCCCAUCAGCUGCAUUGGAGAUACCUGUGUGUGCCCUUUGGGAGCUGAUUGCCAGGGCACCCGUGGGGCUGGGAUCAUGGCAGGGUGUUGUAAGCAAGGAAUGCCUGGCUUGUAAAACUCACCAGCUGAGUCUCAGAGGUUUCUUUGAAGAGCUGAGUUCAGGCAGGAAAAUUGCCCCCCCAGGAGGGACUCUGUGCCUGCUCUCCCGUGGCUCCAAGGGAUCUCUGGCCCUUCACGCCGGCACCGAGAUUUUCUCGGGAAGGGCCUCAGAUCCCCGGACCAGUCUGGGACACAGGCAAGAUCCCCCUGCCUUUAGAAAUGAGGCCUUCUUGUGGCUUACUCCCCAUACCCGUUGGUGGGUUCCAAAGAAGGCCUCUUGAAAUGCCUUUUGGGCUGUCCAUUGAAGCCUUGAGACCAAAUUGGCCCCCUGGAGGGACAGUGCUGUUGGUGCCCCCGGGUUGGGGCACCCCGAGGACUCCAGCGCGCACCGAAAGGAUUAUUCGGGGAGAUCCUCGGGGUGCCCGGCCCUGGGGAGCUCAAAGCAAGGUCCCUGCCAUGGAUUCAGGCAUUGCUGAGAGUAUCCCAGGGGUACCUUAGGGUCGUGUAAGGGGGGUACUUUUGAAUUAGAUGAUCAAUGGAGCAUAGAGGUGUGAGAAAGAAAUCCUAUUAGGAUGUGAAACCAGCUCGAGUGUGGUACAAUGUAACUUGAUGGCACAAGCUAAUUGUAAGGUCCAUUGUGCUUUUCAGCAAGUCAGCCUGAUAUCCCCUGUUAUGAGAGCUGAGUUCUUCCUUGGUUCUGCUACAUCUUGCAAGGUAGGAAGGAAGUGCCCUUAGGAUUUGGGAAUAGGAAGUUACUGGAAGCCAG